rnacentral:rRNA from 1 species
CCUACGGGAGGCAGCAGUGAGGAAUAUUGGUCAAUGGGCGCGAGCCUGAACCAGCCAAGUCGCGUGAGGGAAGAUGGUCCUAUGGAUUGUAAACCUCUUUUGUCGGGGAGCAAAAGACGCCACGCGUGGCGUUCCGAGAGUACCCGAAGAAAAAGCAUCGGCUAACUCCGUGCCAGCAGCCGCGGUACUACGGAGGAUGCGAGCGUUAUCCGGAUUUAUUGGGUUUAACGGGUGCGCAGGCGGAAGAUCAAGUCAGCGGUAAAAUUGAGAGGCUCAACCUCUUCGAGCCGUUGAAACUGGUUUUCUUGAGUGAGCGAGAGGUAUGCGGAAUGCGAGGUGUAGCGGUGAAAUGCAUAGAUAUAACGAAGAACUCCGAUUGCGAAGGCAGCAUACCGGCGCUCAACUGACGCUCAUGUACGAAAGUGUGGGUAGCGAACAGGAUUAGAUACCCGUGUAGUC